rnacentral:lncRNA from 1 species
CCUGUCAAUUCUAUUCUUGUUCACAUGUCCAAGCCUGCAAUGCCAAAGAUAGGAUUCACUGAUAUUAUCUAAUUUUGCAUGUUUACUGGAUGUGUGCAUUAUACCAAUUGGCUGUGAUAUUAUGUAUAUGCCAUAUUUUAAUUAUCCAUGUAUAAUUAUAGUAUCAUUCAUAAUGAUAUCACAAAAGUCAUCCUUUAUUAUAAACUUGAAAUCAAGUUUGGCCAAAAGGCCUACAGAGAUGACAUUCAUCAGAAAGGAGGGAUAAUAAUAACAAU